rnacentral:ncRNA from 1 species
UAAUUUCGCUAGGGGUGCCUUUGGGCUGAGAAGGAAAAAUCCUAACCCUUGAACCUGAUGUAGCUAAUACUACCGUAGGAAAGCAACUUUAACGAAGA